rnacentral:lncRNA from 1 species
GGCGGCUCCUGCAGAGGUCAACACAUUUCAGGAAGUCCUGGCUGAGGAGGUGCCGAAGGGACUGUGCCGGUGCAGGAAGGCGCCAGCCUCUGCCUAUGCUCUUGGCCCUCCCGUCCCCUCCAGCACAGACUCUGGUGGCUUAGCCCGGUCCCCACGGGCUUUCAACACCUUCCUCCACCUUCCCUGCCCCUUUGCCGCACUCAGAAAUCAAAUUAAAGAGAACAAAAUAUGCACUUACAUGGAAAUGCUUUGUUAACAUUUCAGUGAGGGAGAAAACAAAUAAAAUGGAAAUUUGACAGUUCCUGGAGCCUCGAAUGAGGUACGUAAAGCUUGAGACCAAAGAACCAUAUUUUUAAUUCCACGCAGAUUCGGCUGCCCCACUUGGGAACUGACAGGCUCGCUCACCAGGACCCGUGAGAGUGUCGGUCUUGAGAUGAAAACUGUGGUGGGCACCUGGCAGCCUGGGAAGAGAUGACGUCAGGAGAGAGGAUGGGAUUCAUCUUCUCCAAAGGCCUGAGACCGCCCAGAAAAGCGCUUGCUCUUAGGGGUCACCAAAGGCAGGGUGUAGCUGGAAAGUCACGGGGCUCCGCAGAGCGGUGGCUUUUGUUCAGAGCCCUUCCUUUUCUCCCUCGUGAACCCACCAUAUGUGAUCAUGUGAAAUGGCCGCCAUUCCAGUGUGAGCCUCCUGGAUGUUGGGCCAGGGACCGUCGUGUCUGCCACUGUUCCUGCAGGACCUAAAAGUGUACACAUUCACUGCUGUCUGAGCACUUGUGCGGAACAGAGGCGCAGCUCCAGGCCGUGGCGCUUGGACCCCGCCUCUGGUGCUGAGUUCUGUCUGCAGCACUCAUCUAGGCAGGCCUGGUAGGAGAGGAGUCAGAACGCCGCCCCCAUGACGAAGGGCAUUUUCUUAGAUGGGAAGUUGACAGGCAGAAAAAGGAGAUUUCCUAGCUGGCUCCCGUAUCUAAAUAAUCUUGUCAUUG